rnacentral:rRNA from 1 species
AUCUACAGUCAUACCACCCUGAACACACCUAAUCUUGUCUGAUCUUGGAAGCUAAGCAGGGUCCAGUCUGGUUAGUACUUGGAUGGGAGAAAAAUGAUAUCUAUAGGAA